rnacentral:lncRNA from 1 species
GCGGGGUGUAUGAGCUCUUUUAAAGGAGAACACUGUGGUUUUCAUGUUCUGAGCAUUCUGAGAUUGUGAAGGCAUAAUUCCUUUGAUUUGCUUACAGCCAAGUGGAGUUGCACAGGUCAUGGUGGCAGUAUAGCCACUUAAGUAUUCUAAAGGAGAUUUAUCAGCAGGUUGCAGGUGAACAUGGCGUUGAGGUUUUUCCAUCUCUUGGUGGUAAGUCUUUUGCUAUAGUUUGAGUAAGCCCUGCCAUUCCUCACAUGGAGAGCAAUGAGAGGCCGAAG